rnacentral:lncRNA from 1 species
CGGGCCGCACGCGUGCCAGGCGAGAGGCUACUGCUUGAGCCACAUCCCCAGCCCUUUCCAAAUGAAUUUCAUCAUGACUUUUUUUUUUAUCUCUAUGAGGAAUGUCAUUGGGAUUUUAAUUGGAAUUACAUUAAGUCUGUAUAAUGCUUUUUUGUUAUGGCCAUUUUGACAAUAUUAAUUCUGCCUAUCCAGGAGCAUGGAUAUCUGUCCAUCUUCUAAGGUCUUCUUCAGUUUCUUUCUUUAGUGUUCUGUAGUUUUCAUCAUAGAGGUCUUUCACCUCUUUUGUUGAUUCCCAACUAUUUUUUUUUUGAGGCUAUUGUGAAUGGGAUAGUUUUCCUAAUUUGUUUUUCAGAGGAUUCAUCACUGAUGUAUAGAAAUGCAUUUGAUUUAUGGGUGUUGGUUUUAUAUCCUGCUACUUUGCCAAAUUCAUUUAUUAAUUCUAGAAGUUUUCUGGUGGAAUUUUUUGGAUUCUUUAAGUAUAGAAUCAUGUUGCUGGCAAAUAGUGAUAGUUUGAGUUCUUCUUUUCCUAUUUGUAUCCCUUUAAUUUCUUUCAUCUAAUUGCUCUGGCUAAAGUUUUAGGGACUGGUGAAUGCGUUCCUGCACCCGCUGUCUGACAGGGUCACAGCAUGGGGGAUGCUGCGGCAAGGCUGUACCAUCUGGAAACCGGAACCAUUAGGAAUGUUAAGUUUAUGAUCCUCAUGAUAUGGAUAACAGGGCAUACGUCAAUCAAUAAUAAAAGUACCUAUUGCCUGAGAUUGCAGGAAAAAUUCCAGAAUGAGACUAAGGAUACAAUGGAGACAUGCCAUAAGGUAUGCUUUAAAGUUAGAAGUGAAUAAUAGGUCAGGAGUCAUGUAGUCUAGUUGGAUCACCUAGCACUUAGUGGUUGAGGUGAAAACGUAAAAGCUUCAUUGUGUUGUCUAAGGUUACAGAAAAAUAUUUUGAACAAUGUACUUAAUAUCUUAAGAAAUCAAUAUAUCAGAAAAGAUUGUAACUCUUGAAAAUUAUGUAAAUCAAAAAAAUUUAGGGCUUUGAAGCUAUCCAUUAACUACCUGAAAGAACACCUGUUAAAAAAAAGUAUAAAAAUAAAGAUCCCUCCAGGGGCAAUUAGAUGUCUUCUGGAGGUUGCUCAUAACUUGCAACCUGUUGUCCCGACUCUUCUUCUUUCACCGACGCCACUCCUCCUUCAGGACCACACUGGACCCUCUCUCCCCCCGCAGGGGCUGGACCUCUGCAAAGGACUAUGUAGAAUAGAAGUGGUGAGAGAGGACACCCUGUCUUGUUCCGGUUCUUAGAGGUAAUGCCUCCAGUUUUUCUCCAUUUAGAAUAACGGUGGCCUUGGCUUAGCAUAGAUAGCUUUUACAAUGUUGAGUUAUGUUCCUACUAUCCCUAGUUUUUCUAGUGUUCUGAACAUGAAAUGGUGUUUGACUUUGUUUUUCCUAUUUAGGGUUGUUGAUAUUAUUCUACACUUUUUCAUGGAAAUUCUCUUCUUUAUUUUAGAACUCAUUCUGCUAUUCCUGUUCUAAUGCCAUCACUCCUUCAACGUUCUUAUGUGGUCUCCACAUUUCCUUCCAGAAGACACAUUCCACAAUGCUUUACAUAAUAGAGUUUCAUUCACCAUUUGGUAAGUAAGGAGUGCUCGUGUUUUGAACAUUUUGAGAGAUCAUGUUUUUCUUAUUUGUCUUUUGUGAGUUGUUGAGGUCUCAUCUGGGCCAUUUGUGGAGUGGCAAGACAAGAAUAUCACUUGCACCAAUACAUCUCUUGAAGAGAGCUGAGUAGUGCAAUUUGACUGUACAAUGAGUUUGAUUUCUGGCCCUAUUUUAGGGUAAAGGGUUACUCUCACAGCUGGCCAUAACUGUAACGUCUGUGUGGAGUCGGCUGGUAGUAGUGACGAGCCCACAUGGCCGGCCCUAAUGACAUAGGAGUCUGUGACUCCUCUUCCCGCUUACACUGUAACCCCCUACUGUUUGAGGGGCCAUGCAGGCCCCGCCCUGGUUUCCCAGCAGCAGAGAAGUAGGAAGUUAGACAUAGUGGCCAGCUGCUCCCACCAUAUCUAUCGGAGUUUUCCCACGCCAAGUGGUCAUCUCUCCAGUAGCGACAUCUACGCAAACCAGGAGAGGUCUCUGCCCUGUUGCGCAGGGACUCACAGUCCUGAGCCAUGUGCCUAGUUCUACCACAGUUGAAACACCACCUGUGAGAAUGGCUGUCCAAGACUGAGGUUGUAGCACCUGUUUCAGAGUCGCAGCAAGUGUUAAGCCCUGUAUCUGUGUUGGACCCACAUCUGCACAAAGGUGAAUAAAUUUAGAAACAGUCCCCCCUUUUCGAUUGGGUUGGAGGAUCUCCUGACAAAGUUUACUAGCAUUUUCAAAUGCUAGCUGCUUGACCAGGGACUCAGAGGCAUUCCAGUCUCUUUUUGAUCUGUUGGCUGCCUCAUAGAGACGUGCCACAAAAUCUGAGAAUGGCUCCUCUGAUCCUUGUCAGAUUUGACUAAAAUCCAAAGCUGAUUCACCUCUAUUAGGCAAUUCCCUCCACACCUUUUGACACAUGCAGUAAUUUGAUCAUAAAUUGCUAGAUUAUAAUUUAUCUGCCUUUCCAAAUCUGCAAAUUCUCCACUUCCAGUUAACAUCUCCAAAGGGGCAUCAAAGACUUGUCUCUGGUUUCUCUCAGCCUGUUCAGUGCAAUUAUGAGUCCAGUGAGAUCACCAAAGCAGAUUAUCACCCCCCAAUAAAUAAGUUUUGGCCAGAGAAAUCCAAUCAUGUGGGGGCUCAUUGCAUAAAGAAUCAAGCAUGUCCCGACCGGCAGGACACAUCAACAUGGGCAGCGAACCUAGAUGGGGAGGAAUGAAGGGACAAGAGACACGAAAGGUGACAGCAAGACAGGAGUCUGAUCAAGCUGCAAACUUUUAUUGUUCACACAGGGGUAUUUAUAUGCUGGGGAUGGGGAAGCUCUCUUAUCAGCAGUUGCUGGAUGUCUUCACAAGGUGAGAUAACCUCAGGAUGUUUCAGGAAGACAGAUGGCGGAAGGAUGUCUCAGGGAGAUAGAUGGCUACAGGAUGUCUCCCAGGCAGGAUGUCUCCCAGGGGGCUGUUUCUUUUAACUGUCAGGCUAUUCUUUGAAGGAGAACUUCCUUCUAGCCCCUGGCAAAGCAGACUUUGAAUGAAGGCUGAUUUUGGACCAUUAAGUACAGCAAGCAUUUUUUAGCUCUUUUAGAGUCUGAAGAAACUGCAGCCUGCACGUGGCCACCCUGGUUUUGCUGGUUAACCUGCUCAAACUCUGGAAAAAGCUGAAAACCUGUAAUAUUGUCCCCGCUUCCAGUGCUGUCCUAAGGCCAUAUUGGAGGGGUAUAAGUGUGGCUACUGGCAGGUCUGUGCUCUUAUUGCACUGUAUGCCCUGGGAAUUAGGUAUUAUUCCCCUUCAAUAUACAGAGCACAUCUGUGUUUGAAACUCUGUACUCACCUUGUGAAACUCAUUACUCAUUUUGUUUGUGUGGCCUGCAGAUGAGGAUUGGCUUGAGGAUCUAAGACCUGUGAUUACCAGCCUGAGGCCAGCAUAUCUCCUUAGUUAGAGUGUUUAGGGUAAAGCUGCUGAAAGUUAUUUUUAUUCGUAUUAAAAGGGUUUAACCUGGUCACAUAAUGCAUUUAGAAGCUCUUAUUGGCCACUAUAGAUUCCUUGAUUAAAACCCUACAUUAAAUAAUUAUAUUUGGGACAGUCUUUCAAUGAUAAAGUUGUCUUUAGUGAAAAGAUUGAAACAAUUCAACUUGAUGUUUAGCGAAUAGAUUUUAGAUUAUUGUGUAUAUUAGUUAUUGUCAUUUCUUUUACAUUAACUAGUAGCUAUAUGUCAAAUAAAUAACAAUUUUAUCAAUAUUAAAGAGAUGUAUUAAAACAUCUUAGUGAAUACCUCAAACCAUGGGAUUUCUUAUGAAUAUUAACUUUAAAAACUUUCCUACACCAUGAAGAGCCUAUGUAGUCCCUUUGCUCUCAGAACCCUGGGUACAUUGAAGCCCUAAAGUGGUGUCUGAAAAUGAAUGGUUGGAAGUGUGCAUUUGUGGGAUACACUGAAGCAGUUUCAUAGGCCAGCACACUUUAAUAGAAGUAUCAUGGGAACCCAAAUUUGAAUUUUACAUUUUCCCAUGGCUGUUUAAAAAAAAUAAGCCUGCAUAUGAAAUAUUUUUUAUUAUCUUUUUUUUUCUUUUUUAAAUUUUUAUUAUUGGUUAUUCAAAACAUUACAUAGUUCUUGACAUAUCAUAUUUCAUACAUUUGAUUCAAGUGGGUUAUGAACUCCCAUUUUUACCCCGUAUACAGAUUGUAGAAUCACAUCGGUUACACAUCCACAUUUUUACAUACUGCCAUACUAGUGUAUGUUGAAUUCUGCUGCCUUUCCUAUCCUCUACUAUCCCCCCAUAUGAAAUAUUUUGAAGAGUAUAAAUGAAUGAAUUCAUUUUAUUCAAAUUACAAUUUAAACACUAAAUAAAAGUGGAAAUCAUCAA